AACUUUGAAGCUUCGAAUUGACCUUCGUCACCAAUGAGUCUUCUAGUCCGACGAUCCACCGAACCUAAUGCAUCAAGAUCAGACAAUCAGAAUGAAAAAAUGAAGAAAGCGCUAAGACAGAUCGUUUUCUCCCUAGCGUUAAGGUUGUUUGGAAGACAUCGCUAUUUAGCGAUAAGACCGCCUUAUUGUACCUCUACAUUUUAAGCUUUCUUUUUUGUAACCUGUCAUUUGUGUUUUUAUGUAUGUAUUAAAGUAUAUUCAUAUAAUAUAC